AUUAGACGUUCGUCUGUUGUUGAGAAUCUUUGAAUUUAGGUCCAACGACUUAUUUUACACCCCCGUUUAGUGCUUAUUCGGGUUAGCGCGUUUUUUACUGGAAUUAUGGUGUUUUCUGACUGCAUCUAGCAAGGAGUGGCAUUACACAGCUUUUGGUCGCACAUCCGAACAGAGUGGAUUUCCCUUAAAUCUAGCGGACAAUUGCUGCGUGUUGAGUAUACCUACCAUCACCUCUACCAGAGAUCUACAAAGGAGUCAAUCGCGCUGCGAAGAACCAUCGAAAGUGCAGGAAAAGCGCUCUUAGUGCUCUAGUUAGUAGAUACAAGUAAUAAUUGGUUGUGGU